rnacentral:siRNA from 1 species
ACAGUGGUGAUAUGAUGAUAA